AGUUCUGAUGCUAGGGUGAAUACUGUGGUAAUGAAUUAAACCAGACAACAUAAGGCAUGCAUUGGUACCACUCUAAAUGUGCUAACAAACAGGGAGGGGGGCUAAAUAAUUCACCAAAUUUAACCAAAGGUUUAACCAAAAAAUCCUAGCUUGCACUUUCUGUCUGUCUUCCAUCAGAGUGCAGUUUCUUUUUUGUUCAGGU